rnacentral:rRNA from 1 species
AUGACAUUGUUGCUGGAGAAACACCAUACUGAACCCAGGCCAAGGCAGCAAACAACAAAUCCAAUACCAGAGGAAAUAAUACAAACCAGAUCGCACACAGGGCAGAGCAGCAGAUCGAGCAGACAGGAGGACAAGAAGGAUGACCAGAACAGCAGUGGCGCGGGUCGCAUGGACGACGAAGCAACGACCCAAGCAGCGGCCGCGGGAAGCAGCACCGACAGCCGGAACAUCAAGACGGCAGGAUCCUACAACCACAGCAAGGAGCCGAGGCAUACACAGCACCGCCCAAAUCGCCAAUCUCCUCUGUCUGCACUGAGUGGCUGA